UGCUACAAUGAGCCCAAGGUGACGAC
rnacentral:piRNA from 1 species